AAAAAAGAUAUGUAUCACUAAUUAAGGCAGAUUUUCAAAGCAACUUUUAUUCUAUUUUAGAUUUAUUAAACACUAAUAGUCUCUCAAAGAAAGCUUCAUUAAAUGUGCCUGAGAUGAUUCUAAGAAAAGUUCUAAUUCAAAGGGUAACUCACCAUGAUCUUGAAUUUUACUUUUCCUACACAAAUAUGAUUUACAAUAAUGAAAACAUGAUUUUUGCCACUAUUAACAUUUUUAUAAAGAUGUUUUAUAGUGCCCCAAAAUGUUUCUAAAUAUUCUGUAUUCAUGUCUUUUUACCAUUUCUUUUUGCCUAUUUAGAAGCGUAAACUUGGUUCAAAUAGCGAGUCUGUGCUGCCACCUGCUGGAAAAUGUGAGAAAAUUGUCUGUUUUAAUGGAAUAGCAGUGAUGUAUGCUGCAUUAAAUAAGAAAACUCAGGAAGAUCCAGACACACGCAGAGGUAAGACCAUUUAAAGAUGGAAAGAAGAUUACUGUCUACAAGACAAGGAAAGAGGCCGUAGAAGAAACCAACCAGGCCAAAACUUUCAUCUCAGACUUCUAGCCUUCAGAACUGUGAGAAUAUAAAUUUAUGUUGUUUAAGUCAGUGUGUGGUAUUUUGUUAUAACAGCCCUAGCAAAUGAAUAUAGUACCUCUGUUAUCUUUAGAUUAUUACUGCUACUAUGCCGUAUCUUUUCCAUCCCUUCACUUUUAAUGUCUCUCUCUUAAAGAUUUCUUGAUGACAACAUAUAGGUGGGUCUCAACUUUGUAUCCACUCUAUCUUUUAAUUGGUAUACUUAGACCAUUGAAGUUUAAAGUGAUUAUUGACAUAUUUGGAUUCAUGUCUAUCAUUCUGUAACUGCUUUCUAUCCGUUGUUCUUGUUAUUUUUGUGUAUACAUUUAUGGGUCACAUAUGAUGUUUUGAUGCUGGGAUACAAUGUGUAAUCACCAAAUCAGGAUAAUUGGGAUAUCCAUCACCUCAAGC
rnacentral:lncRNA from 1 species